AUCCGAAUAUCUGUCAAAUAUCCAACAUCAAACUAACUUCACCACGGUAAACGUUGGUACUAUUAACGUUACUAGCCAACGUUGGCUGGCGAAAAUAUGGCGGACUUUCCAGUAAUGUAAUGGACAAAAGUGAUUUGACACUAAAAACAGUAUUUAAGAUGAUUGUAAAAGAACAUGAUUUUUCUAUUAACUUAACCCAUGUAACUUGAAAACGAGUAAAGUUACACAUCUCCCACAUCUAGAAAGGAUUUAGUCUGUCUGUGUGGGUCUCGCUUAUUGACGUUCCCAUCAGUAUUUUUCUAUACGUUAUUCAUCUCCACUCCUUUCAUAUUAGAGAUCAGAUGAAGAUCAGAUGAAGUUCAGCUGGAAACUAACAGAGGGUGAUGCAGGGAGAGCCAGCACUGCAGAGUUUGCAGAUUAAGUUUUUCUAAUUGAAAUAUGUGGCUCCAGAUGACCUCUUCUGUCAUCAGUCUGCACCUGCUACAUAUUAUUGGAGUGCCAGCCAGGAGGGACUGAAGGAACAGAAGAGUGUCCCAGUCCUUACUUCGAACCCAGUCCAGAAAUUCCAGAUCAGCGUGAUUAAGUCCAAAGAGGAAAACAUGGAGCAGCUCCAGGAUGAAGUCAGCUCAGUGCUGUGGUCAAUGGGAAAGCCUGAACUCAUAAAGGGCGUCAUCAACUAAAGUGUAGUGAACCAUCAGGGGAAGGAUUCCAAGGCUUAUCCUGUUGUGCCCCGAGUCGUCUGGCAUCAGAUGGAGCUUUUCUAGUUGAAAUAUGUGGCACCAGAUGACCUCUUCUGUCACCAAUCUGCACCCUGCUACACCAGCAACUCGUACUGGAACAUUCAUUAGCAGAUAACGCAAACAAGGCAGAAUCGAUGCAACCCUCCUCCGCCCCAUUCAUCUCCCGUUGUCAUCAUUCCCGGCUCCCAGGGUUCCUCCUCCAUCAGAAGCCCAGCUUCACAUCCCAUCCAUCCAGAUCUUUGGGCUUCCUUUAUCCCCCUACCAGUGUCUAGACUCUAUCGAGGGGAUAUCAACGGCUUCUAUACCCCUUAUAAAUUAACAUUGCGAUGGAGUCUAAUCGCCAAAGACUAACAUUUCAAACUAUUAUGCACCAUGUUCAUUAAACUUAUUUCACUCUGAAAUAAAGUCUCUCCUGAUUGAA